GUUCAGAGUACUGGACAUGCUUCUGUAUCCUCCUCUAUGUAACGGGAUCUCAGUCUGGUUCAGGAUCCUCUCAGCUCCACCUGAACACUGCAAACUGUUCUCACCUGCAGUCGAGCUAAAAGGAACUGUUCUAUCUUGCUCUGGGUGAAUCCAGAGGACAGUAGGUGCAAGGUUUUGUCCAGGAAAAUAUUUAAUCUGGGGAAAUAUAAAUUGUGCCAUUUUCUACUGUGAGAACACAUAAACAUAUAUGUAAGAAAAAUGUUAUAUAAUAGGUAAAGUGUGAUUCUCUCUGAGAUUCUCUCUCUCUCUUUUUAUUUUUUUUAUUUUUUUUUUUGUGCACUAAAAAGCUGGAUGAAUUGUUGUAAUUUGUUGUGCACUAGAUGGCAGACGUGGGUUAAAAGUCAGCUAAUACUCUUGGAAAAGUCUGGUGCCAAUAAUCUGUUCAUGCUGUAGGAAGAAGUGUGAUAGAAACUCUACAGUCAAACAACAACCCAACAAAUAACAAUAUAAAUAUGGCUUUAUAACUGUAUUGACAAAC